UAUAUGUGUAUAAAACUGAUAGUAUAAAUUAAUACAGAUUAAGAAAAAGAAAAAAAAAUCUCUGCGCACCGAGAACAACUCGCACUAGCAAGAGAAAAAAGAAAGCAGCCUGCAGAAAACAUAAUUUGGUUAGAGAAGAAACAAAUCAAAAUCCAAUGAACAAUCACAAUGAAUGAAUGAAUGAAUAGCGAGAGCGAGAGCGAGAGAGAGGGAGAGAAUCGUCGGGAUUGAAUUUUUGGGGAAUUGAAUUCACGAGAUUAUAUAUGCCUUCACUCAACGAUUAGGGUUUCAAUAUGAAUUGUGUGUGAAUUUCUUUUUUUACAGAGGGGUUUCAAUGAGUACGCAAGGGUAAGCAUCGCAUUCGCUCGCUUCCUGAUCGAAGACCAAUAGCUCAAACCUGAAACAAGAAAUUUUCAAAGAAUUGUCGAAAACUUUAGAUAUUUCGCUAAAACAUUCAUAAAAAGAUCGUGAAAAGUCUGGGUAUUUGCUUCCUAAAUUGGCUGUAUUCCCUCUCGUCGACGGCGGCGGCGGUAUCUCCCUUGUCCGACUGCUUGCUAUCCUCAAUCUUUUUCAAGAACCCAUAGCGACAAAAGAGGAAAACCCCCAAAACGGCAAGUAGAACAGAGCCCAGAAGGAUUUCCUCCGACAAUGUAGACAGCUAGAGCCCAACUGUCUCUGGCCGGUGGCAAUGCGGUAGCGCAGCGGCUCUCUGUCUGGACGAAGAAAAAGAUUAGUCUUCUUCUCCGUCAUCAUGUUCUUAAAUUUUUAGUUGAGCUUAUAAUAAGAAGUUUUAGAAAUAUUUGGAUAGGGUUAUAAAAAGUUUGAGGGGUUAUUAAAAGUUAAGGUUGUACGCAGUGUUCUUUGAAAAUUAAUUUCAACAACUUAUUAAUGUAUUAUAAAUUUUAAAUAAGUAAUAAGGGUAUAAUAGUAAAAUUAUAAUUAUUUUUAUUAAUA
rnacentral:lncRNA from 1 species